AAAAGAGGAACUCAGUCUAAGAGCGUCACAUUCUGUGGCGACGACUGAGUGACCAACCAACAUCGUGUCGG
rnacentral:sRNA from 1 species